rnacentral:rRNA from 1 species
UACGGAGGGUGCGAGCGUUGUCCGGAAUCAUUGGGCGUAAAGGGCGCGUAGGCGGCUCUGUGCGUCACCCGUGAAAGCCCCCCGGCUCAACCGGGGAGGGUCGGGUGAAACGGCGGAGCUGGAGGCAGCGAGAGGCUGGUGGAAUUCCCGGAGUAGUGGUGAAAUGCGUAGAGAUCGGGAGGAACACCGGUGGCGAAGGCGGCCAGCUGGCGCUGACCUGACGCUGAGGCGCGAAGGCGUGGGGAGCGAACGGG